rnacentral:rRNA from 1 species
GUCUAUGGUCAUACCACCCCGAACACAUCCGAGUGUGUCUGAUCUCAGAAGCAAAGCAGGGGCGGGCCUGGUGAGUACUUGCCUGGGAGAGAGACAUGCAUCUCACAGGGU